CUCGUAGGCUGGGUUGCGCGUCGUGGAGUAAAUUUCUCUGCUCAACGGAGAAAUCAUCUGCGAUACGGCAACUCUUGAGGACAGGAGAGGAAAGCGGAAUUCCGAGUGUAGCGGUGAAAUGCGUAGAUAUUCGGAGGAACACCAGUGGCGAAGGCGGCUUUCUGGCCUGAUUCUGACGCUGAGGAGCGAAAGCAAGGGUAGCGAACGGGAUUAGAUACCCCGGUAGUCCUUGUGCUGUAAACGAUGGAUACUAGGUGUAGGAGGUAUCAAACCCUUCUGUGCCGGCGCUAACGCAUUAAGUAUCCCGCCUGGGAAGUACGGCCGCAAGGUUGAA
rnacentral:rRNA from 1 species